GUGCUGUCAAUGUCGUUUUCGUGUCGGAGUCGGACUGUUAGUAGGUUAAUUUCCACGUGCAGUGCUGUCUAGAAUGUAACAAAUUAAUUGAUGCGGGAUUGAGGGCUGCGCCACCCGAACGAGGUAACCAACAGAACCUGCGGGCCCCUUAUGGUUAACGUAGGCCGGAGCACUGUGCCCCAGGUUCAGGCAGGACGGGGCGACGGGAAGAUACUACGGAGGUGUACUUCGUAUAAAACCAGGAGUCACGCUCCGAUUUCGUUUUGAAGACACGGACAGGUAGGAACGUAUGGAGAGUAGCUGGUAAUCUUGCGGAAUACUUGUUGUAGUAACCCGUUCGCUAGGGAGUACACCUAGGAACUGGAAUUACUCGGGGAAUUGGGAACUGGUCAGAGUAAUAAAGGUAACAGCUUGCACGUUUAAUAAAGGGUUGAAAGAUU